GUGUGAGCAAAUAUUCUGUGAAUAUUUUCUCUCAUUGUACAGAGACAAGAUAUGCGAAGUAGGAUUCUAGACCGAAUCAAACAAUCGCGCUGACAUUAGAUAAGAUUGCCUUUUUUGGCAGCUUCGUGAAACUUGACAAAUGGCUCGCGUGGAAGAGACUGAACUUUUAACUACUAUGGAGAACUGAGCAGACAAAUUCAACUUGUUUAUGCCAUCUCUCAAGCUAGUAGCAGCAUAAAAAAUAAAUUUGAAACGAAUCAAACUGCAAGAUAUUCUCGAAAUCAUCCCCAAAAUUUGCUAUCAAAAUUUUUCCCCAUGGAAAAAUUGCAGAAAGUUGAAAAUCAGCAACAAAUGAUCAAUUUCAACCUUGAUUAAUAUCAUGAUUUGACAAUUUCAAGGUUUCAUAGGUAUGGACGAGGAAGAGGAAUGAGAAAUCGCUUAUCUGAUUUCAAGGGCGGUCAAAGUAUCGAAGAUCGUUGAUUCAAGCCAUGAUAGCUCUAAUUGUGUUCAAUCUGAUUGUUUGCUUCCUCUCGCGAUCCAUUUCCUUGGGGCUUAGCGGUCUCUGCCUCUUUGAUCCCCGUGUUGCUUGCCUUGGAGAGUUGCCGAUGUGCAUUAAAACUGUAAUCACCGGGAUGUUAACUAUCCACCGUAUGUACUGCUCCAGAAUCUCCAAUUUCUCAGCACCAUAGACGAGAUUUCCUCAAGUAUCAAACACAUUCCAGCAAUUAGAUAUUGAUUUUGAGCAGAGAAAAUGUGGGGAAGCCUUCUUCUUUGUCAUUUAAUCCACACUUAUGGAUGAAGAGCUUCAGAUUUCAUGAAAUUGCAGGUACUGCUUUGGGAAUUUCACAUAAUUGACAUAGUCACCAGCUCGGGAAUCUGGGGAUUUGGUCAAGCACGUUCAAGUGGAUCUCAAGCUUGGAGGCGACAUGACGAUUCGACUUGAACUUGGCUCGGAUCUCAGCAGCUGACGAUUCGAUUUGGUCAAGCACGUUGAUUUUUGGACGCUUAAACAAUUGUUACUGCCGACCCCAACGCCCUCUGUUCUUCCAACUGUUAAGGAUUUGCUGCUGGUAUCCGGUGGGGGCAGAAUCUGCCAUGACAUUCGGAGUUGCUUAUACUCUUAUACAGGAGGGCACUGUAUAUUGUUUUAGCCAGACAACUAGUAGAUGACCAAAGAACAUUUGGUAUCCCCUCAUGAAGUUACUUGUAGUUUACUAAGAUUCUGCAAUCGGAAUGUUCUCCAACCGAUUCAACUCCUUGGAAGCUGAAGUAGAGUGCAUUUUACAUCGAGCCUCUCAAAGGGCAAGUUUGAUAUCCACCUUCAGUCUCCAUUGAUGCAUUGCCUUCCUCGUUCAUGAUUUUCCAAUUCACUGUCUUGAAAUGUAUGUGACGAUUUCUGUUCAUUUCUCUCAUGUCCUGCUUUUUAUUUUCCUGCUUCAGUUUAUACCUUGUUUAAUUAUAUCUGAUCUGUAGGGUAUAUGAAAGAUAUAGUUGGACUGUUAUUUUGGUAUAUUUCCCUCUUGCAAGAGUUUGGUGCAUGUGAGGCGAUAUUCAAUGGAGUAUAUGCAUAUGCAUUACGUGGAAGACGUUUACUCACAGUCUUCCCUUCUCUAAUGCAACUUAUAGGACUCUCUCGCUCUCUCUCUCUUUCUCUCUCUCUCUUUCGCUUAAGUGGCUUCCAUCAUGCUUAAAUUUUGAAUAAAAUAAUGCUUCUCAUAUGAUUCUUUGGUAAUCUCUGAGUUUGCUAUUGCUAAAUAUCAUGUUUCUACUUGUUGAUUUUUAUGUAUUUUUAAAGACUACGAGUUUUAUAUCUUAAGAAGCCUUCAGCUGUGUGUGAAACAAAGUUCCCUCAUCAAGACUAGAUUGCUCCAAUCGAUAAUCCGGUCAACAUUUCUUCGAACAUGCAACCCGUUUGAUCAUGCGAUCAAUCCAAGUAAUAUUUAGAUGGUAUUUGAGUGAGAAAAAAAAAACAUUGUCCUUUUUUUGCAUUGAAGGAAGAAGUAUUUCUCGAGCAACGAAAAAUGAGAUAGCUCCCUUUAUGUUUUUCCCAAUAUUUUGUAUGAAGCACGACAAAUUUUGAUGGUUUGAUAAGAAUUUUAUAAGCAAUCUUUUGUUGUGAAACGUUGUGCGAAAAUAUUCAUCUGUAAUUUUUUUUUUCUGCUAACCCCUUUUGAGCAGUUUUGUAUCUUGGGAAACAUUAUUUAUAAUUAUUUUCCCUCCUUUUUUAGUGUAAACUCUUAUCUGACGGGAUCUUUGGGAAAUUCUAUAGGAUCACCUAAUAUGGCUGAAUCAUAAUAUAAAACUGCAUGUUGUGUAGAGAGGAUCCCAGACUCCAAUUUCGGUACAGUUUGAUAUCUCUAUUGGUGAUAAUUAUGUGCAUAAACAUCAAAAGUUGAUUUCGUAUUACAAGGUAGUUUUUGUCGCUUACUAUUAUUGAAGUGAUAAAAUAAGGAUAAACUAACUUAAUGGCCCUGCCUGGUUUCUUGAUUGAUUUGAUGGAUAAAGCUGAAUGAGAACUUGCAUCUGCCUAUAACUAAUGUAUUCGCCCCAAUUGAUUCCUCACUUGAAAAUGCAGAAUAGAAGGUACAUUGAUUCCAUAAUUUUUUUUGCUUUGGUUUGAUUGAUCUAUCUUAAUGUUUUCCUAAAGCAGGUCAAAUGCCAGUCUGAUGCAAACAACACCAUUCUCAAAAUUAUGGUUCAAACUUGACACAACAUUCUCGACGCCUCCUACUUGUUAAAAUAGAUUUCGGUUGUCCCCUUGCCAGCAACUUCCAUGAAGGCAAAAUCUUCAAUGAUAUACUCACAGGACUAUUGAUGGAAUGAAUAAAAUUUUUAAACUAGAGAAUAGGAGCAUCCUAGCGGAAAAACUCCAUCCUUUGAAUAUUUUUGUAGUUUUGUAAAGGGGAUAAAGACAAAAAUGAUUCUAUAAGUUUGGCAUUCGGUCAGUUCUGAUCUUAUAAGUUUCAAAAGUACCGAAUCAGUUCUAUACGUUUGAUUCGUUAGACUUUUUUGGUCUGUUCCAUAACCAGUCGAAUGGAAUUGCUUACAUGGACUUCACGGUGUUAAGUUUAUCCACGUCAGCAAUUCUUUUUGACCGGUUACAGAAUUGACCAAAAACGUCUAACGAAUCAAACUUAUAGGAUCAAAAAUGACCGAAAGCCAAAUUUAUAGGACCAUUUUUGUCUUUAUCCCUUUUGUAAAAUUAUCGCAGUUCAAGCUUCAUCUUUUGAAUUUUUCUAGAAAUCUUAUGUAAUUUUUCUUACUAUGUUGGUCUAGGACUGAUUUUGUUUUCUCAUUUCACCUUAGAAGAUGGAGCUUGAGAGUAUAGAAGGUGCUCCGCACUGUACAUCUAUACAUGUAUGUGUUUUUGAAGCAUUCUUUAAGUCAUUGUGUUUGCUUCAUUUAUAAAGCGACAACUUUAUUAUGA